rnacentral:snRNA from 1 species
AUUCCUGCGCAGUGGCAGGUAUCAUAGUCUAUGAAGUUCUACUGAGACGUUGAUUAUUGCUAGUUGAAAACUUUACCCAAUACCCCGCCUGGUUGAUUUGCAAUAUAAUCAGCUGUGGCAAUUUUUGAUGGUCUCCUUAGAGA